AUGUACUCCACCACCUCCUCGUCCCGCCGCCGGCCAAAAAUCAAGGGGAUCUGCGACUGUUGUCGCCGCUGCCGGAUUUGGCGUUUCCGGCCACCGGCAGCUGCGCCUUGCCAUGGAUUGGCCGGGAAGCGGCCCACACAGCCCCGACAAAUCCUCCGCACCGCAUGCAGCGCUCGUGCAGCGGCUCAUCGGCUUGAAGUUGUCAGUCAUACAAUGCGACGGUUGCGCACGACAAGUGGUGCGCCGAGUUUCUACCACGCCGCAACAUCCCAGAUGGGUGUUCUUCAAAUGCACAAACGAUGGGAUGAUGGAUGCUCGUUUUGGUAUUGGGAAGAAGAAUACAUCAAUCUAUUGAUAGCACAAAAAUUAGUAGAUGUUCGUGCACUCGUUGCUAGAAUUGAGGCUAAAGAUGAGACUAGAUGUGAGAUUAGAGAAGAAAUUAGAGGGGAAGCAACAUCUGCUUCUUUCGAAUCAAAGAAGAAGAAUGAAGUAUGCAAGAUCGAGAAUCCACAGAUCCACAAUGAAGGCAUCGGAAAGAUAUUAAUCUGA
rnacentral:rRNA from 1 species